CAAGUUUUUCUUCAAUUUGGAAAUGUAGAAUGAAAGACCUUCAGCAUGUUUUGUAGUCUUUGUCUGAAUUUGGAAUUAUGCCUAAAGAAGGCUGAUUUGGUAGCUCAUGACAGCUAGUCAAUGCAAAAACUGAUUACAUGUUGUCUUCAUCAGAUUCAUCAUCUUCCUCAAGAGAAUCCUAAGGAAGAAAAACCCAAUGUAAGUGGUUUCAACAAGGGAAGGAGAAAUGUUUUACUUCAAAAUAAUUGUAAAUGAUUAUGUAAAUUGCAUUCUUACUUUGGCGUAUUUUUCGGCUUCUUCUUUGAUGUCUUUCGGUACUAAUUCAUGUCUACCUUUUGUAUCUGGAAAAGAGCCACAUUAGAAUAUUAUUUCAAUAAAGCAUUAAGGAAAUGUA